ACAGAAAGGGAUGGCAUUCCAUUGUUUUGCAAGCUGUGGUGGAUCAUAAGUAUUGUUUCACAGACGUAUUCAUCGGUUGGCCGGGACGGUCACAUGACGCUCGAGUGCUUGCAAACUCUGAUCUGUACCGGGUAGCAGAGGACAAGCAAGGGGGCUACCUUUUUCCAAGAGAGAAAUCAAAAUUUGUGGAUGGAGUGGAGAUCCCGGUACACAUAAUUGGUGAUGCCGCCUACCCAUUACGACGAUGGCUCAUGAAGGGGUUCACCCAACAUGUCCAGCUGAGCUCCAAUCAAAUUACUUAUACGCACACCCUGAGCUCAGCAAGAAUGGUGGUCGAAAAUGCCUUUGGACGAUUAAAAGGACGUUGGCGCUGUCUUAUGAAGCGCAAUGAUGU